rnacentral:rRNA from 1 species
UACGUAGGGGGCAAGCGUUGUCCGGAAUCAUUGGGCGUAAAGAGCGUGUAGGCGGCUCGGUAAGUCCGCUGUGAAAGUCCAGGGCUCAACCCUGGAAUGCCGGUGGAAACUGUCGAGCUAGAGUCCGGAAGAGGCGAGUGGAAUUCCUGGUGUAGCGGUGAAAUGCGCAGAUAUCAGGAGGAACACCAAUAGCGAAGGCAGCUCGCUGGGACGUUACUGACACUGGAGGCGCGAAAGCGUGGGGAGCGAACAGG